rnacentral:rRNA from 1 species
AGUGAACGCUGGCGGUAGGCCUAACACAUGCAAGUCGAACGGCAGCACAGGAGAGCUUGCCCUCUGGGUGGCGAGUGGCGGACGGGUGAGGAAUACAUCGGAAUCUACUCUGUCGUGGGGGAUAACGUAGGGAAACUUACGCUAAUACCGCAUACGACCUACGGGUGAAAGCAGGGGAUCUUCGGACCUUGCGCGAUUGAAUGAGCCGAUGUCGGAUUAGCUAGUUGGCGGGGUAAAGGCCCACCAAGGCGACGAUCCGUAGCUGGUCUGAGAGGAUGAUCAGAAACACUGGAAAUGAGACACGGUCCAGACUCCUACGGGAGGCGGCAGUGGGGAAUAUUGGACAAUGGGCGCAAGCCUGAUCCAGCCAUACCGCGUGGGUGAAGAAGGCCUUCGGGUUGUAAAGCCCUUUUGUUGGGAAAGAAAUCCAGCUGGCUAAUACCCGGUUGGGAUGACGGUACCCAAAGAAUAAGCACCGGCUAACUUCGUGCCAGCCGCCGCCGUAA